AUUGAACGCUGGCGGCAUGCUUUACACAUGCAAGUCGAACGGCAGCGCGGGCUUCGGCCUGGCGGCGAGUGGCGAACGGGUGAGUAAUGCAUCGGAACGUGCCCAGUAGUGGGGGAUAGCCCGGCGAAAGCCGGAUUAAUACCGCAUACGACCUGAGGGUGAAAGCGGGGGACCGAAAGGCCUCGCGCUAUUGGAGCGGCCGAUGUCGGAUUAGCUAGUUGGUGGGGUAAAGGCUUACCAUGGCGACGAUCCGUAGCUGGUCUGAGAGGACGACCAGCCACACUGGGACUGAGACACGGCCCAGACUCCUACGGGAGGCAGCAGUGGGGAAUUUUGGACAAUGGGGGCAACCCUGAUCCAGCCAUGCCGCGUGCGGGAAGAAGGCCUUCGGGUUGUAAACCGCUUUUGUUCGGGAAGAAAUCCUCUGGGCUAAUACCCCGGGGGGAUGACGGUACCGGAAGAAUAAGCACCGGCUAACUACGUG
rnacentral:rRNA from 1 species